ACUAGCACAGAGAAUACCUGUAAUUAUUUUUGGUCUCUCAGCAUUAGAAUUGCACCCUUCCCAUGUGCAGGGGGGUCCCCCACCUUCUGAAGCAGAGCCCACCUUCCCUUCUGAGAGAUAACUAUGCCAAAUAAUUGUUUUGUCAGUCUUCCUUGCAGCCAGGACAUGUGACUGACAGGUGCAGGCCCAGACUUGGGACCUGAAGCUAGUGCCAGGAAACAGCAGGGAAGGAGUGGGGUGUGUUCUGGUGUGGAGAAGUGGUGAUGGCAGCUCCUGCCAAGGACCAUUGGCAGCAGUGACACUCACUGUGAGAGUGUCCAGCACCAACAGGACAAGCUGCACUGUCCAUGCCCAGCCAUGGUGCUGGGAUUCUUCAUGGGUCUGCCUGGUGGUGGGAUUUCGGGUAUCAUUUCAGGCUGCGUGGUCGCCAAUGUGGAUUUUCUAACUCUUCUGGAGAUUAUUUGAGCUGUCCAGUACAUAUAUAUAUAUAUAUAUAUAUAUAUAUAUUUUUUUUUUUUUUUUGAGACAAGGUUUCUUUGUGUCAUCCAGGCUGGAGUGCAGUGGCACUGUCAAUCAUAGCUUACUGCAGCCUCGAACUCCUGUUCUCAAGAGAUUCUCCCAUCUCAGCCCCCUCAGUAGGUGAGACUACAGGUGCAUGCCAUUUAAAAAAUAUUUGUUAUUUGUUUAUAAUUUACUUAUUUAUUUUUUGUAGAGAUGGGAUCUUGCUAUGUGGCCCAGGCUGGUCUCGAACUCCUGGCCUCAAGUGAUCCUCCCACCUCAACCUCCCAAAGUGCUGGGAUUAUGGGUAUGAGCCACUGCACCUGGCCCAUGAACUGCCCAGUAUUUAAUAAGCUCCUUAUCUGCUUAAAUCAGCUGAAAGUGAUUUCUGUGGUUUGGGAUUAAGAACUCCUGAAUGCCAGAGAGUUCGAGAUAAAGAAAGAUGAAGGAGGAUGGAGGAUCCCGGAGACGGAGGAAGAGAGAAAGAAGAUGAAGCAUGCCUGAACUUUAUAUCACAGGAAAUGGGAAGUCACUGAAGAAUUUUAAGCCCAAGAGGAAAUGGGCCUUUCCAUUCUUUUCUUCUGCUCCUCUUCCUAGGAAUGUACUAAGGACAAUGACUCUGGAAGCUUCUGGGAAGGGAAUAUGGCAGAAGGUACAGGAGAUGCAGCAGGAAAUAAGACCAAUGGAGUCCUUGCCCUUCUGGAACUCAGUGUUCGAGUAGGAUGGGGCAGACAAUUCACAACUAGUAACCACAAAAGAUGCUUCCAGUGUGCUGCUCUUGUUAAAAUCAUCAGCGACACUCACUUUGCUAAAUCUGAUGACCAAUCCUCCCUGCUACCUCUGACUUCUGAGUACUUCCCAUGAGCCAGAUGCUGUUGUAGGCCCUGGGGACACAGCUAUGAACAAGAGAGGCCUUGGGGGCCGGGUACAGUGGUUCCCGCCUGUAAGCCUAGCACUUGGGAGGCUGAGGCGGGCAGAUCACCUGAGGUCAGGAGUUCGAAACCAGACUGACCAACAUGGCGAAACCCCAUCUCUACUAAAAACACAAAAAUUAGCCAGGUAUGGUGUGCAUGGGUAUGGUUGUGUGCACCUGUAAUUCCAGCUACUUGGGAGGCUGAAGUAGGAGAAUCACUUGAACCCAGGAGGUGGAGGUUACAGUGAGCCCAGAUCAUGUCACUGUACUCCAGCCUGGGUGAAAGAGCGAGACUUUGUCUCAGAAACAAACAAAAAAGGCCUUGGGGACCCCCUGUUCUAGUAGAGGAAGGCAAGUGAUGAGUAAAAUAAAUCAGUAAAAUAUAUGGUGUGUCA
rnacentral:lncRNA from 13 species